AUUGAACGCUGGCGGCAGGCCUAACACAUGCAAGUCGAGCGGAGCGGCGGACGGGUGAGUAAUGCCUAGGAAUCUGCCUGGUAGUGGGGGAUAACGUCCGGAAACGGGCGCUAAUACCGCAUACUAUCAGAUGAGCCUAGGUCGGCUUAGCUAGGUGGAGGGGUAAAGGCCUACCAAGGCGACGAUCCUGAACUAGUCUGAGGGGAUGAUUAGUCACACGGGAACUUGGACACGGUCCAGACUCCUACGGUAGGUAGCAGUGGGAAAUAGUGGACAAUGGGCGAAAGCCUGAUCCAGCCAUGCCGCGUGUGUGAAGAAGGUCUUCGGCUUGUAAAGCACUUUAAGUUGGGAGGCGUUACCAACAGAAUAAGCACCGGCUAACUUCGUGCCAGCAGCCGCGGUAAUAC
rnacentral:rRNA from 1 species